UACGUAGGGUGCGAGCGUUGUCCGGAAUUAUUGGGCGUAAAGGGCUCGUAGGCGGUUUGUCGCGUCGGGAGUGAAAACCUCGGGCUUAACUCGGGGCUUGCUUUCGAUACGGGCAGACUGGAGGUAUGCAGGGGAAAACGGAAUUCCCGGUGUAGUGGUGGAAUGCGUAGAUAUCGGGAGGAACACCAGUGGCGAAGGCGGCUUCCUGGACCGGUUCUGACACUGAGGAGCGAAAGCGUGGGGAGCGAUCCGG
rnacentral:rRNA from 1 species